ACGGGAGGCAGCAGUGAGGAAUAUUGGUCAAUGGGCGGAAGCCUGAACCAGCCAAGUCGCGUGAAGGAUGAAGGUAUUAUGUAUUGUAAACUUCUUUAGACGUAGAGAAAUAAGCCCCUCGUGAGGGGUGAUGCUAGUAUACGUAGAAUAAGGACCGGCUAAUUCCGUGCCAGCAGCCGCGGUAAUACGGAAGGUCCGGGCGUUAUCCGGAUUUAUUGGGUUUAAAGGGAGCGUAGGCGGUAUUUUAAGCGUGUUGUGAAAUGUAGACGCUCAACGUCUGAAUUGCAGCGCGAACUGGAGUACUUGAGUGCGCAGGAAGUUGGCGGAAUUCGUCGUGUAGCGGUGAAAUGCUUAGAUAUGACGAAGAACUCCGAUUGCGAAGGCAGCUGACUGUAGCGUAACUGACGCUGAAGCUCGAAAGUGCGGGUAUCGAACAGGAUUAGAUACCCUGGUA
rnacentral:rRNA from 1 species